UACGUAGGUGGCAAGCGUUGUCCGGAUUUAUUGGGUUUAAAGGGUGCGUAGGUGGCCCUGUAAGUCAGUGGUGAAAUAUCUCAGCUUAACUGAGAGGGUGCCAUUGAUACUGCAGGGCUUGAGUACAGAUGAGGUAGGCGGAAUUGACGGUGUAGCGGUGAAAUGCAUAGAUAUCGUCAAGAACACCUAUAGCGAAGGCAGCUUACUAGGCUGUAACUGACGCUGAGGCACGAAAGUGUGGGGAUCAAACAGG
rnacentral:rRNA from 1 species